GACGAACGCUGGCGGCGUGCCUAAUACAUGCAAGUCGAGCGAGUCUGCCUUGAAGAUCGGAGUUCUUGCACUCUGUGAAACAAGAUACAGGCUAGCGGCGGACGGGUCCGUAACACGUGGGUAACCUGCCCAAGAGAUCGGGAUAACACCUGGAAACAGAUGCUAAUACCGGAUAACAACAGAUGAUGCCUCUCACCUGUUUAAAAGAUGGUUCUGCUAUCACUCUUGGAUGGUCCUGCGGUGCAUUAGCUAGUUGGUAGGGUAACGGCCUACCAAGGCGACGAUGCAUAGCCGAGUUGAGAGACUGAUCGGCCACAUUGGGACUGAGACACGGCCCAAACUCCUACGGGAGGCAGCAGUAGGGAAUCUUCCACAAUGGACGCAAGUCUGAUGGAGCAACGCCGCGUGAGUGAAGAAGGGUUUCGGCUCGUAAAGCUCUGUUGUUGGUGAAGAAGGACAGGGGUAGUAACUGACCUUUGUUUGACGGUAAUCAAUUAGAAAGUCACGGCUAACUACGUG
rnacentral:rRNA from 1 species